CAGAGUAUGGCCUUCUAGGGAUGAACGUGAUCAAAGACUGUUGGGAGAAGCUUUUCCUAAAUGGCCAUCCUGGGGAAAUGGCGUUCAAGUCCAUUUGCCAUAUGCAAGAGGAUCCAGGCCCCAGACGAGCCCCUUCAAGUAAGGGCAAGGCUGACUCAGCAGAGCCCCAUCUCCAUCCCCCCACGCACGGAGAUGAUCGUCUGGACUGAUGUUUCCCCAGUAGCAGGCUCCCCUGAUCAUCUCGUUCUAGUGGAAAACCUCCCAGACGAUACUGGAGCAGAGGAGCGCGGUUGGCGAGUGGCCCGGACCUUGAGCUGGGCACGAGGAGGUAAAGUCCCAGUACGUAUCUGUAACCCCCAGCUGUUCCCUGUGCUUCUCCCCCACCGACAGGCAUUGGCAACCGUUACUUCAGUUGACCCCGGGGACGUCCAGGGGCGGAACCAUUUGGUACUACGAGACUCGACCCCAGGAGUGGUGGAGGUGGACGUGCGGCCAGUUUGCCAGGGCCCAGCAAGAGAGACACCACUGCAGGGAGAGGAGAGCACUGAACUUCUUCCAGGGCAGUCGGAACAGUUCUCAGCCUUGCUACGAAAGUGGCCAGGGGUGUUUUCUGCCCACGAGGAGGACUUUGGUUUUACCACGGCCGUGCACCAUCGUAUCCCUACCGGCACGGCACCCCCCAUCCGGGAAAUGUAUAGACCUGUUCCACCCACAUUGUACCCUGAACUACGCGGACUGCUGAAGAGUAUGCUGGACAGUGGUGUGAUUCAAGAGAGUUCGAGUCCCUGGGCCGCCGCAGUAGUCCUUCUUAAGAAAAAAUGAUGGCUCAUUGCGCUUCUGUGUAGACUAUCGGAGACUUAACGCAGUGACUCAUAAAGAUCCGUUUCCCCUCCCUAGGAUUGAGGAGUCCCUGACCGGCCUCCACCAGGCGGAAUGGUACUCGACGCUGGACUUAGCCAGUGGGUACUGGCAGGUCGGGGUGGCACCCCCUGACCAGGAGAAAACUGCGUUUGUCACCCCACUGGGCCUGUAUGAGUUCUCCCGGAUGCCUUUUGGUUUGUGCAAUGCCCCCGCCACAUUCCAGCGACUGAUGCAACGUUGCCUAGGGGACAAGGUACACGACCACCUUCUGAUAUACCUGGACGACGUCAUCAUUUACUCCCCUGACUUUGAGACCCACCUGCGACACCUGGAACAGGUUUUCGAACGCCUCCAAAGCCAUGGCCUUAAGCUGCAGCCCAAGAAGUGCCAGUUCUUCCAGCGACAGGUCCUCUACCUGGGACAUGUUGUAAGUGGCCGAGGAGUGGCCACCGAUCCAGAGAAGACGAGAGCGGUCCAAGAUUGGCCUGUCCCCACCACUCUCAAACAGCUAUACACUGAUGCCAGUCUGGACGGCUUGGGUGCAGUACUAGCCCAGGUGCAGGAUGGCAAGGAACGAGUGAUAGCUUACGCGAGCCGCAGCCUGGUUCCGGCCGAACGCAAUGACCAGAACUAUAGCUCCUUUAAAUUGGAGCUACUCGGUAUGAAAUGGGCUAUAACCGAAAAGUUUAAGGACUACCUUUGGGGUGCAACGUUUACCGUAUUCACUGACAACAACCCGUUAGUACACC
ensembl:lncRNA